GAUGAACGCUGGCGGCGUGCUUAACACAUGCAAGUCGAACGGAAACGCCCUGCUUUCUUGGGGUUCUCGAGGGGCGAACGGGUGAGUAACACGAGAGUAACCUGCUCUUGAUUUUGGGAUAAGUUCAGGUAACUGGGGCUACUACCGGAUCGCAGCCGCCGUUGCAUGGAGGGGGUUGGAACGUCUCGGCGGGAGGGGAUGGACGCGCGGCUGACGAGCUUGUUGGUGGGGUAGUUGCUUACCAACGAAUGGGCGGGUAGGCGGCCUGGGAGGGUGGCCGGGCACAAUGGGACUGAGGUACGGACCAGACUGCUACGGGGGGCAACAGGGGGAAAUAUUACACAAUGGGCGGGAGCCUGAGAAGAAGGCGCCGCGUGCGGAAUGACGGCCUUCGGGGUAUGAACCGCUUUCGCCUGUGACGAAGCGUGAGUGACGGUAAUCGAUAAAGAAGCACCGGCUAACUACGUG
rnacentral:rRNA from 1 species